rnacentral:tRNA from 1 species
GCCCAGGUGGCGAAAUUGGUAGACGCAGGGGACUCAAAAUCCCCCGCCGCAAGGGUGUGUCGGUUCGAGUCCGACCCUGGGCACCA